rnacentral:rRNA from 1 species
GACGAACGCUGGCGGCGUGCUUAACACAUGCAAGUCGAACGAACAGGCCCUGCUUUUGUGGGGUGCUCGAGUGGCGAACGGGGGAGUAACACGUGAGUGACCUGCCCUUGUCUUUGGGAUAACUUCAGGAAACUGGGGCUAAUACAGGGUAGGAGCUCCUGCUGCGUGGUGGGGGUUGGAGAGUUUCGGCGGUUUGGGCUGGACUCGAGGCUUAUCGGCUGGUUUGGGGGGUAGUGGCUGACCAGGGCUGUGAAGGGUAGCCCACCUUGGAGGGUGGACGGCCACAAGGGGACUGCGGGACGGCCCAGUAGCCUACCUGAGGCAGCAGGCGGGAAUAUUGCACAACGGGCGGAAGCCAGAUGCAGCAACGCCGCGUGCGGGAUGACGGCUUAUGGGUUGUAAACCGCUGUCGCCGGAGACGAAGCGUGAGUGACGGUAAUGGGUAAAGAAGCACCGGCUAACUACGUG